UAGGGAAUUUUUCACAAUGAGCGAAAGCUUGAUGGAGCAAUGCCGCGUGAACGAUGAAGGUCUUUAAGAUUGUAAAGUUCUUUUAUUUGGGAAGAAUGACUUUAGCAGGUAAUGGCUAGAGUUUGACUGUACCAUUUUGAAUAAGUGACGACUAACUAUGUGCCAGCAGUCGCGGUAAUACAUAGGUCGCAAGCGUUAUCCGGAUUUAUUGAGCGUAAAGCAAGCGCAGGCGGAUUGAAAAGUCUGGUGUUAAAGGCAGCUGCUUAACAGUUGUAUGCAUUGGAAACUAUUAAUCUAGAGUGUGGUAGGGAGUUUUGGAAUUUCAUGUGGAGCGGUGAAAUGCGUAGAUAUAUGAAGGAACACCAGUGGCGAAGGCGAAAACUUAGGCCAUUACUGACGCUUAGGCUUGAAAGUGUGGGGAGCAAAUAGGAUUAGAUACCCUAGUAGUCCACACCGUAAACGAUAGAUACUAGCUGUCGGGGCGAUCCCCUCGGUAGUGAAGUUAACACAUUAAGUAUCUCGCCUGGGUAGUACAUUCGCAAGAAUG
rnacentral:rRNA from 1 species